UACGUAGGGACCAAGCGUUGUUCGGAUUUACUGGGCGUAAAGGGCGCGUAGGCGGCGUGUUAAGUCACUUGUGAAAUCUCUAAGCUUAACUUAGAACGGUCAAGUGAUACUGACGUGCUAGAGUGCAGAAGGGGCAACCGGAAUUCUUGGUGUAGCGGUGAAAUGCGUAGAUAUCAUUUGGAACGCCAAUGGUGAAAACAGGUUGCUGGGAGUGUGCUGACGCUGAGACACGAAAGCCAGGGGAGCGAACGGG
rnacentral:rRNA from 1 species